rnacentral:lncRNA from 1 species
ACCUCCACCUCCACCAUUCGGACCGAUCUCGCCGCCUGCUGGACGCGACGGCGGCGGCGCCCGCGCGAUGUCUCCCACUCCGCGUCCUCGCUUCCUGGCCGCGUCCGUUUCCUUUCGUCUCUGGUUUUGCAGCCGCCGGCCUGGGCGGCCUCCGCCACCCAUGACGGGCUCGCCUGGAAGGUGUUCGACGAAAUGCGCGCGAGUCACCACGGGCUGUUGCCUGUUUGGCGUUCUGGGAUGGGAAGCCAGGCGCUUCGUUUACUAUCUGCGAGGAAAGCCGUGGGCAUUCCCAUGUCGAAUUCGCAGGCUAGCUGUAUACUAAUGCUCCGUGCUAGCGUCGUCCUCACCGUGCCGGGUUGUGGUGCCGUUGAGCCAACUGAUGGAGCAGUGGCCAGUGGCGUAAACCUGAUCCUUUGGGUCAUGGGAGCUGAUCAAAAUGCAGAUCCGUUGAACAAUAUCUUCGACCAAUCUCUAAACAUGUAA